rnacentral:rRNA from 1 species
AACGAACGCUGGCGGCAUGCCUAACACAUGCAAGUCGAACGAGUGCCUUCGGGUGCUAGUGGCGCACGGGUGCGUAACGCGUGGGAAUCUGCCCCUUGGUUCGGAAUAACGGCUGGAAACGGUCGCUAAUACCGGAUGACGACGAAAGUCCAAAGAUUUAUCGCCGAGGGAUGAGCCCGCGUUGGACUAGCUAGUUGGUGUGGUAAAGGCGCACCGAGGCGACGAUCCAUAGCUGGUCCGAGAGGAUGAUCAGCCACAUUGGGGCUGAGACACGGCCCAAACUCCUACGGGAGGCAGCAGUGGGGAAUAUUGGACAAUGGGCGCAAGCCUGAUCCAGCCAUGCCGCGUGAGUGAUGAAGGCCUUAGGGUUGUAAAGCUCUUUCACCGAUGAAGAUAAUGACGGUAGUCGGAGAAGAAGCCCCGGCUAACUUCGUGCCAGCCGCCGCCGUAA